rnacentral:rRNA from 1 species
AGUGAACGCUGGCGGUAGGCCUAACACAUGCAAGUCGAACGGCAGCACAGUAAGAGCUUGCUCUUACGGGUGGCGAGUGGCGGACGGGUGAGGAAUACAUCGGAAUCUACUUUUUCGUGGGGGAUAACGUAGGGAAACUUACGCUAAUACCGCAUACGACCUACGGGUGAAAGCAGGGGAUCUUCGGACCUUGCGCGAUUGAAUGAGCCGAUGUCGGAUUAGCUAGUUGGCGGGGUAAAGGCCCACUAAGGCGACGAUCCGUAGCUGGUCUGAGAGGAUGAUCAGCCACACUGGAACUGAGACACGGUCCAGACUCCUACGGGAGGCAGCAGUGGGGAAUAUUGGACAAAGGGCGCAAGCCUGAUCCAGCCAUACCGCGUGGGUGAAGAAGGCCUUCGGGUUGUAAAGCCCUUUUGUUGGGAAAGAAAAGCAGCAGGUUAAUACCCCGCUGUUCUGACGGUACCCAAAGAAUAAGCACCGGCUAACUUCGUG